UGCCGCGUGGAGGAUGAAGGUCCUCUGGAUUGUAAACUUCUUUUAUCUGGGACAAAAAAGGGCCUUUCUAGGUCAACUGACGGUACCGGAUGAAUAAACACCGGCUAACUCCGUGCCAUCACCCGCGGUAAUACGGAGGGUGCGAGCGUUAUCCGGAUUCACUGGGUUUAAAGGGUGCGUAGGCCGGCAUGUAAUUCCGUGGUGAAAUCUCCUAGCUUAACUCGGAAACUGCCCUGGAUACGAUGUGUCUUGAAUGUUGUGGAGGUGAGCGGAAUAUGUCUUGUAGCGGUGAAAUGCUUAGAUAUGACAUACAAAACCACUUGCAAAGGCAACUCACUACACAGAUAUUGACCCUAAGGCACGAAAGCAUGGGGAUCAAACAGGAUUAGAUACCCUGGUAGUCCACGCCCUAAACGAUGAUAACUCGACAUACUUGAUACACGAUGUGUGUCUGAGCGAAAGCAUUAAGUAAUCCACCUGGGAAGUACGACCGCAAGGUUGAAACUCAAAGGAAUUGACAGGGGUCCGCACAACCCGUGGAGCAUGUGGUUUAAUUCUAUGAUACACGAGGAACCUUACCUGGGCUAUAAUGCUG
rnacentral:rRNA from 1 species